UGGGGAAUCUUGCGCAAUGGGCGAAAGCCUGACGCAGCGACGCCGCGUGCGGGAAGAAGGCCUUCGGGUUGUAAACCGCUUUCAGGAGGGACGAAGCCACUCGGGUGAACAGCCCAGAGGGUGACGGUACCUCCAGAAGAAGCCCCGGCUAACUACGUGCCAGCAGCCGCGGUAAUACGUAGGGGGCAAGCGUUGUCCGGAUUCAUUGGGCGUAAAGAGCGUGUAGGCGGCCAGGUAGGUCGGUUGUGAAAACUGGAGGCUCAACCUUCAGAGGUCGACCGAAACCAUCUGGCUAGAGUCCGGGAGAGGAGAGUGGAAUUCCUGGUGUAGCGGUGAAAUGCGCAGAGAUCAGGAAGAACACCCGUGGCGAAAGCGGCUCUCUGGAACGGUACUGACGCUGAGACGCGAAAGCGUGGGGAGCGAACA
rnacentral:rRNA from 1 species